rnacentral:misc_RNA from 1 species
CAUGCUAGAAAAUAUAUGGGAAGAAUUCUGUAGAAUAAAAUUGGCUGUAAGAUGCUGAGUGAUAAAAUAUAGUGUUCCAAGUGCCUAUAAGUUUUUAUGAUUAAGUUUCACGAAAUAAAUUAAGACAGGAAUGGUCUCCAUUUCGACUUAUCUGUACCGUACGGACAGCUUUAAAUCUCUUGGACUGAAGAAAAUCGAGGCGGAAGAUGGAGAAUUUCUUCUCAAUCAGGCUGCGCGCCUUGGCGUACUUCGUACUACCUAAAC